AGUCGAACGCGAAAGUGGAGCAUCCAUGAGUAGAGUGGCAAACGGGUGAGUAACGCGUGGGUGACCUGCCUUCGAGCGGGGGAUAACGUUUCGAAAGGAACGCUAAUACCGCAUGACAUCCUGCCUUUGAAGAGGCGGAGAUCAAAGCCGGGGAUCGCAAGACCUGGCACUUGAAGAGGGGCCCGCGUCUGAUUAGCUAGUUGGUGAGGUAACGGCUCACCAAGGCGACGAUCAGUAUCCGGCCUGAGAGGGCGGACGGACACACUGGGACUGAGACACGGCCCAGACUCCUACGGGAGGCAGCAGUGGGGAAUUGUUCGCAAUGGGCGCAAGCCUGACGACGCAACGCCGCGUGGAGGAUGAAGACCUUCGGGUCGUAAACUCCUCUCGAUCGAGACGAAAGACUUCCGGGUGAACAAUCCGGGAGAGUGACGGUACCGAGAGAAGAAGCCCCGGCUAACUCCGUGCCAGCAGCCGCGGUAAUACGGGGGGGGCAAGCGUUGUUCGGAAUUACUGGGCGUAAAGGGCUCGUAGGCGGCCAACUAAGUCAGACGUGAAAUCCCUCGGCUUAACCGGGGAACUGCGUCUGAUACUGGAUGGCUUGAGGUUGGGAGAGGGAUGCGGAAUUCCAGGUGUAGCGGUGAAAUGCGUAGAUAUCUGGAGGAACACCGGUGGCGAAGGCGGCAUCCUGGACCAAUUCUGACGCUGAGUGAGCGAAAGCCAGGGGAGCAAACGGGAUUAGAUACCCCGGUAGUCCUGGGCCUAAACGAUGAAUG
rnacentral:rRNA from 1 species